ACUCUGACCUCUGAUUCUAUAAAAGAAUUUCAUAAUAUAUAGUUAUGACCUUCAGUAGCGUUAUAGAGACUGCAUAUUAAGUAGUAACCAUCUUUGCUAUGUAAAAAAUUUGAUAUGAAAACAAUUCCUGGCCUUAUCAUCAGAGUACAUUACUGCAGAAUGCACUGUAGUCUGCAGUGAGAUGUUCUGGUAUGUAAUGUUGUGGCAGUAAUAAUUCCCUACACAUCACAGAACCAAUUAACCAUUACUCCAGUUUUGAUAUUGAUAGUUUACAAAUGAUAUAUAACCUCAUUACAUACAUGAAAUGCCUUUAUUUCACAUUCCACCUCUCGCUGGUCGAGUAGAAACACAAAAUUAUACGUCCAUUAUCUUUAUAACCUGUUCUGCCGUGGCUUGCUCAGUAUAUUAACAAUUGCAGAAGAUCAUAAAUUUUUUUGAAACGCAUAAAUUUUUUACCCUAAAGACAAAUAAAUGAUCUGUUUUUCUAGGAGUGUAAAAUGGACAUUUACAGGUUCUAUUGCAUGUGUCAAUAAUUAUCUUUCAUUUAUAAAUAUCCUUCUUUAAAUUAAUAGUUUGUUUACAUUGCCGCUUAAUGGUCAAUUUCUUGGGACUGUCCUGAGUGAGUCUUCACAAAAACAUUUCACAGUCACUGGAUAGGGGUAGGAGUUUUGUAAUCAGGGUGGGACCAAAAUGGUCAGUUAUAACAUUUGUGAACAAUAGAACAUCUUUAACUUCUUGAUAACUACCACUCCAAUUAGAUCUUUCAAAUUUGGCAUUCAUGAAGCAUCUUUGAGACAAGAAGGACAUAAAUUGUAAGUCUCAGGACUUCUGAAUCCCUGGGGCCUUGAGGGUGGGGCAAAAGCUGUUAAAAAUUGACCAAUUUUCAAAAAUCGUCUUCUCUACAACCACACAGGUGUAAGAAAAACUAAAUACAUAGUGAUAUAGAGCAGGAAGGCCUCUAACAAAAUUGAAAAUUUCAUGAUCCCCGAGGUAGGGGUUUUGGUAUCAGGGUAGGACAAAAAUGGUCAGUGAUCAAAUGUAUAAACAAUUAAACAUUUUUAACUUCUUGAUAACUACCAAUUCCUUUCAAAUUUGGCAUGAAGCAUUUUUGGACUGACCUGUGUCAGACUUCACAAAAACAUUUCACAAUCACUAGACAGCCGGGCUUAGGUGAACCUAAAUAUGUUUUAUUUACAUGUAGAAAAAAAGUCCUGCUAGCCAUCAUGACGUCAUAAAUUUACACCAUCUUCAAUAAAAUUCAAUAUUGAGCUACUAUUGUAUAUAAAUUAAAACUACCUAAAUUAAUUGAAUGGAUGUAGUAAUAGGAUAUAGUGAGUUUUCAUGCUAACAAGUGGUGAAUGAAAAAACAAAUAAAUCAAAUUAUACAGAAACAAGAUGUGUUUGUGAAACACAAAUGUCCCCUAUAAUGGCCUAUCCCAAAGACGGCCAAGAUCACAAGGACAAAUAUCUUGGUACCAGUAGAAAGAAAUUGUCACAAGAAAUGCUCAUGUACAAUAUGAAAGCUCUAAUAUUUACCAUUUAGAAGUUAUGACCAAUGUCAAUUUUAUUAAAAAUAGGUCAAAUGUCAAGGUCAAAAGGUUUAGUACCAACGGAAAGGUCUUGUCACAAGGAAUACUCAUGUGAAAUAUCAAAGCUCUAUCACUUACUGUUCAAAAGUUAUUAGAAAGGUUAAAAUUUUCAAAAAGUAGGUCAAACUGCAAGGUCAAGGUCACAGGGUAAAAAAUAUUGGUACCCACCGAAAGGUCUUGUCACAAGAAAUACUCAUGUGAAAUAUCAAAGCUCUAGCACUUACUUUUCAAAAGUUAUUAGCAAGGUUAAAGUUUCAGACAGAAUGACAGAUUGACAGACAGGACAAAAACAAUAUCCCGCCCCCCCCCCUUCCGAUCUUGGGAGUAUAAAAACAAAUAUAAAUCAAAUUAUACAGAAUCAAGUAAAAACAAUUAAUGAAUUGCUCUGCAUGUUAAUCAAAAUGAAACAAAUUUUUAAUUUAGCACAUUUAUGCACAUUUCAUAUGUACCCUUGCCCAUUUUAAUUCGAAGUUCAACGACCGUACUUAAUGCAAUACAAGCUGUAACUGAUGGCAUUUCUCAACUAUACAAUUGUGCAUCAAUUAAAUCCUAUUGGUAUAACUAAUAUAAUCCAGUGAUUUUUCUACAUUCUUAACAAGGGUCCUGUGGCUUUCCAAUUGGGAAAAAAUUGUCGACAUUUCAGUCAAAUUGGGAAAAAUCAAUUUUAUCGUAAAUAAGUUUUAAAAUCAUAUUAAACAUUAUAUUAUCUUUAUUUUACAGAUCUGAUUUUCUUUAACCUUCUAAAAUUUUCAAUUAUUCUAUCCAAAUCACCAUUCCCAUUACUCUUUGUUAAGUCUUAUGUAUAUAAGUCACCUGUACAUGGAAACUAACAUGAAUAACUAUACCAGGGUUUGACAUUUACUUUAUACAUCUAGUUUAUUUAAAAUAUUACAUCGUUUCAUGAAUGGCAAGAAGUACUGUAAGUGUAAGAAAGUGAUAAUUAAACAACUGUGCCACUCGAUCAAAUCAACUUUGAUAGUGAAUUUUUUUUUUAUAAAAUUGGCAUGUUAAAUUGUUUACAUAUCUAACACAUGCUCAGUGCCCCUCUUUCACUUUUUUCCCUGAACUGGUGACCUCCGAGGUCACUGCACAUCGGGGUUUACAAGCAGGAAUUACUGAGAGGAAGACAACAUUUUUAUCAGGAAUUCCAACAGUCACAAGUCACUGUAUUCAAGUUUGGAGGCGGCAAAGUAGUACACUCUCUUCAACUUGCCAUGAUACCAGCUAUUAUUGGUAAAACAAGAUGCAACAUUGAAACUGAGAUUGUUAAAUGUGAUAUUCCUCUUUUGUUAAGCAAAUGAUGAAUUCAAGAAGGCAGGAACAGUUCUAGACCUAAAAAUUGGCCAAUAAGCCACUAUGUUUAAUCCUGUGAAUUUCGAAUUUACUUCAAUGGACAUUAUUGUGUCAUGUUUAAUCCUGUGAAUUUAGAAUUUACUUCAAUGGACAUUAUUGUGUCAAGAUUUAGAAUCAGCCAGUGAACAAGCUUUUAAAAGAAGAGGAAAUUCUUAAAAUCACUGAAAACAUGAGCAAAGAUGAAAAGGAAACGAUUGUUUUAUGUUGAGAAUUUUUCACUCGUAUUGUCACAUCACCAGCUGUAGGUGAAGUAACACAAAUUUCGAUGCUUAUAGCGCUCAGGGCGGUAAGAAUGCAGUGAGGUUUCUUUAUCAUGCCAACACCUGUUGCAAUACAGGACCUUUGUUUUUAAGGUCAUAUCCGAAAAACCUGAUAUUCUCAAUUCUAAGCCUUCGACGAGGAGCAAUCACUACCUAUUCAACAUCAUCUUGUUAUUUAUCUUACUCAGAAAAUUUCCCUAAAUUGAGCCCCCUACUGAAAGAAUACAUACAACUAUUCAUUUGCUGAAACACAAUGAACACAGUCAGAUGACAGACAUGGUCUGUUGCAUGGAAGCAUUCAUCUAUUCAACAGUCAUAUUGUCUAUAAAAACACCCUUACACAAAAUCUCAAUUCAUUUCAUGAAAGAAGGAGAAUGGAUUCAGUUGAUGAAAUUUUCUUUACUCAAUUUAAAUCUUAGGAAUUAAGCUACAGUGUGGCUACAGAUACGGUUUUAAAUGAUGUUUGGGAUUUAGAAAGUCCAUCCUGUUCAGCAAACUUUGACCUGAAAUUGAACUGUUAUAGUGAUAUAUCUGAGGAAGAAUUGCUGAUGGAUUCAAAUGGAGUUUUAAAUGAGUUCCAAGGAGAAAAUACUAGUACUUUUUCGAAAGAUUUAAAAGAGAAUACUUAGUCUUUUUGUGACACUUAUCUCUGAUACAUCUUUCUACCUUCGCUCGAGGAUCAAUUAAACCUGCUGAGAUGAAUGAUACACAGACCAGCACAUUGGAAUUAACAUCAUUUCUGAAGUUGAGAUCUACAUGUAAAACACUGGCCUAGUGGGACUUUAUUAUAAUUCAUUAAGAACAACUGCAGCCACUAGAAUGUACGCCACUAACUGUCAGAACAAUUUAUUAUAAUUCAUUAAGAACAACUGCAGCCACUAGAAUGUACGCCACUAACUGUCAGAACAAUUUAUUAUAAUUCAUUAAGAACAACUGCAGCCACUAGAAUGUACGCCACUAACUGUCAGAACAAUUUAUUAUAAUUCAUUAAGAACAACUGCAGCCACUAGAAUGUACGCCACUAACUGUCAGAACAAUUCGUGUGUGAAAAAGCCAGUCACUGUACUGCUGCAGUCAGGUCUGAUGCGAUAGCAAGCAGUGAACAGGACAAGGAGCAGGGCAUGAAAAUCCAAUGUUUAAUAGAGUUUGAUGCCCAUCAUCAAGCCAGAGGCAUGAAGAGGAGUCAGGGAAUAGUGGCCCUUCACUUUAAUGGAAGAAGAAGACUCUUAAUCAGAUCCAUUUUGUCUUAAACUGGUUCCCUACUGAUUGGUGCAAGAAACUUGAACAAGAGAGGAAAGAUUAGCAGGCCAGGGUAACAUUUGAUUUUAUUUUCUCAAAGUAAUUUUGAUUGGAUGGAAAUUUUUGAAAAACAAUCAAAAUCAUCUUUACAAAUGAUUGACUGAGUACUUGUAUUAUGACAAACCAAUAGAGAUAGCGUUUAUUUUUCUGUGGCCGAUAAACACUAAAAAACGAUUGGCCAAACUGACCGAAAAUCGAAAAUUUCAUUUGCCAUUUUGGCCUUUCGGAUGAAUCGACCAUUUUGAAUAUUUAUUGACCAUUUCCGAAUGACCUACACCAAUCUGAAUCACUGCAGAGGUACUUUGAGCCAGCUUUUCAUUAAGUCUUAUUGCUUUGUAUUUAAGUAUAUCCCCUUAUACACAAGUCCAAAUUCUCCAUCAUCAAACAAGAAAGAUUACAUUAAUACCAUAUCUGCCUUCGAAUAUAUUUAAAAAUUCUGUCUGAUUUGAACAAUUCCACUGCACUAUAAAUAAAAGCAAUGAUUAUUUUAUGUGUUAUAGUCAUGGUACUGGAAAUGUUACAUCAUCAUUGUGAUGCUAUAAUCAUAAAUGAUGGCCAGGAAUUCAUCUCAAUCACAAUAUCCUGGUUUUUAGAUGAGACAAUUUUGAAAAUUAUAGGUCAGUUUAAUUCCCCAUUGCUAUUUUCAUUCAUAACAUACUUUGUUAUUUUUCCUACAAAUUCUAUAGAGUACUGGGGCAUUUCACUGAGCAUUUACUGAAUCAAUAUAUAAUAGUCUGAAUUGUAAAUGCCUGGGGAUUAUUUUAAUUGUGAAGUGCUUACAUAAUUUGAUAACUGUAGUGUCACAUCUGUUUACAAAUGAUAAUUAAAUGUAAACACUUUAAUUUCCUACUGGAAAUGAUGGUGCACAUCUAGAGAUAGAAGAAACAGACUAUGAGCAGCUCAAGAAGAAACGGACUGUCAAUGAUAGUUCGGGAAGCAGACUGCAAAUAACAGCUCAGGGUCAGGAAGAUACACACAAGGAAAUUUAAAAAUAUCCUAAAUGCACAGCAAUAUUGAAGAAUCAGUUAUUAAGCAGUGAAGAGGUUCACAUUUCUGACUAUCACUGAGAUCAAGAAACUCCAAGUAACAUGGACCAAUUCCAAAAGACCUUGAUAUAGAACAAGAUUAAAUCCACGAUGUGUGAGCAACUCUAGAGUAAUGCACGGCCAUGUUGAGGGGGUUUUUCUACAAAGAUAUGAUUCACACAUGAAAUAGGUUCAUUAAUUGUCCCCUUGACAUAAUGACCUUCAAAUAAAAUUGGUCAAUGGGCUGGAGUUCGAACAUCUACAGAUCAUCAGCAAAUUCUGUUUCGAGUGAGAGCAUCCUUUGUAUACUAUAUACAGUAUAAUCUGUCUAAACCGGCUAUGUGUGGUUCCAAAGAAAUUGGCCGGUUUGCACAGAGUCCGGAGUGCAGAAUGUUGACAAGAAUGAGAGUUGCUUCCCUUGUAUUCACUAUCUAUACAUACGUGUGUAAUGAUUGCUAACGUUUUAAUAUAUCACAAAAGAAUUCAAAAUGUAAAAAUACAAAUGUCAGUGUUUUAUGGUCGUGCUCAUUUGAAAAAGUUGACAGGUUGGUCAUCGUGGGGUGGCUGGUUUAAAUGCGAUAAUUAGAGCUAAUUACGAGCAGUUGGGACCUUGUGUACACCGAAUACAAUUGACCGCAACAAUUAGGGUGGUGUAUCAUCGAGGGGCCGGUUUACACAGGAUAAUUAAAGUUAAUUGAUAGCAGUUUGGACUGUGUAAGCCGGCCGAUAUACAGAAUACGCAGUAUCCGGAGUACAGGGAAUUAUUAAUAAAGGAUUUGUUAAAGAAAUGUUAGGGACUAUAUUUUGUGGCCGGAAUUGACAGAGCGCCGGAGUACUCAGAGGCCGGUUUGGACAAAUUAUACUGUAUAUCUCUGUUUUACAUGAACAACACAGUACUGACAGAAGGUAUCGUAUGUUUUUAAUGAACAAGACAAUACUGACAGAAGGUAUCGUCUGUUUUUUAUGAACAAGACAGUACUGACAGAAGGUAUCGUGUGUUUUUUAUGAACAAGACAGUACUGACAGAAGGUAUCGUGUGUUUUACAUGAACAAGACAGUACUGACAGAAGGUAUCGUAUGUUUUUUAUGAACAAGACAGUAUUGACAGAAGGUAUCGUGUGUUUUACAUGAACACAGUACUGACAGAAGGUAUCGUCUGUUUUUUAUGAACAAGACAGUACUGACAGAAGGUAUCGUGUGUUUAUAUGAACACAGUACUGACAGAAAGUAUCAUGUGUUUAUAUGAACAAGACAGUACUGACAGAAGGUAUCGUGUGUUUUUAUGAACAAGACAGUACUGACAGAAGGUAUCGUAAUACACAUGUCAAAUAUCUAAGUUCUCUUACAGUUUACAAAGUUUUGAGUGUGCCAAACAAACAGAUUGACUGCAAUUAAAUCAUUAACUCACAUCAUAAUAUUAAAUGAUCCUCACAUUGGGUAUAGGAAUGCUAAAUAUAAAACUCCCAUCUCCUACUGCAUUCUAGGUUAAGACAGUCACAGAUUAAGUGCUUUCAAUGUCCUCAAACAAUCUCCGAUUCAUUCCACGGUACUUCCUGAUUUACAAAAGUAGACCUGAAUAAAUUUCCUACAGUCACAUAUGUACAGUGUACAGAGUCUCCCAUUCAGUCAACUCUUGAGUUCUUCCUCUCUACAUUUCAUACAAAUUGUCAUACAUGUUUUGAGUAAGUGAUUGCAAAUUUAUCUAUUGAACUAUUUUGAUAAAAUCAAUACCAUGAUUGAAUCUUUAAAUCUAUCAAUACUUAAAAUCAAUAUCAUCAUAAUUAUGUAACACAACACUUUUUACAUUUAUUAAGAUAUUCAAUGAAUAUUAAUUAAAAAUCCAAAACAAAAUUGUUCUGCUGUGUAUCUACUUGAAUGGCAAUUGAAAUUUACAUUAAUCUCAAACUUUAUUCCAUUUAUAAAAUGCAAUGCAAAUAAUUGGUGGUAUGCACAAACCUAUUAUUGAACUAACAGAGAAUUUACAUACUGUAGUGCUUGUUCCUUUAUUAAACGUCUGGCAUUACAAGAUACAGGUCCUUUGGAUAUGGUUCCCUAUCACAAUAGGCAGAUUAGGUAUUGACACCAUCAGGGUUAAUUGUCACUUAUACAGUUUUUGGGACAGCUGGGUCCUGAUCCUAUUAGAUUGGGAAAUUUAUCAGAACUUUCUGUUCAGAUUGGGGAAUUUUUUAAAUUAACAUACAAUUAUUGAAUUUUUUUUUUUUAAAGGUAAAGCCCAAGAUAGACUUUCACACAGUUACAUUCUCUGCUAUGGCCCUGCAUGCCAUACAUAGAUCAAAAUUCAUCUCCACAUAAGUGAUAAAUUCUCAAAUGGGAUGUAAAAAAAAAAAAUACAAACAAAACAAA